GGGGGCGCGGGGGCUGCAGCGCGCGGGCCGGGCAGGUGUCGGGGUUCCGCCGCCGGGGUCCGAGAGGAUCCGCGCGCCCCGCUGCCACCGCGGGGACCAGAGCGGGAGCAGGAGCGGGGCCGCAGCGGGCGCCGGCCGGCGGGAUGGGGCGUUCCGGGGCGGCGGGCGCGGGGCGCUGAGCGGCGGCCCCGGCACACCCGGGCGCGAUGCGCCGCUCCAGCACGGACGAGUCCACGUACCGGCGCAGCCCCUCUCCGGAGGGCAAGGAGCCGGACUUCGCGCGUGGCGACCCCUUCCGGCGCUACAGCAGCCUGUACGGGCGCGCGGGCGGCGGGGACGCCGGGGGCGCGUUCUUCGGCCUGCACGCGAACCCCAGCCCCAAGGCGGCCCAGGCGCGCUACACGUCGCCCAAGGGCAGCAAGUACGUGGUCUUCUACCUGGACCUCUCCUUCAUCUUCCUCCUAGAGCUGAAGCGCUGCGGCAUGGCGCGCGCCUGCCUCCAGGCCGUCAAGUACCUCAUGUUCGCCUUCAACCUGCUCUUCUGGCUGGGAGGCUGUGGCGUGCUGGGCGUCGGCAUCUGGCUGGCUGCCACACAGGGGAGCUUUGCCACGCUGUCCUCCUCCUUCCCGUCCCUGUCGGCUGCCAACCUGCUCAUCAUCACCGGCGCCUUUGUCAUGGCCAUCGGCUUCGUGGGCUGCCUGGGCGCCAUCAAGGAGAACAAGUGCCUCCUGCUCACUUUCUUCCUGCUGCUGCUGCUGGUGUUCCUGCUGGAGGCCACCAUCGCCAUCCUCUUCUUCGCCUACACGGACAAGAUUGACAGGUAUGCCCAGCGAGACCUGAAGAAAGGCUUGCACCUGUACGGCACACAGGGCAACGUGGGCCUCACCAACGCCUGGAGCAUCAUCCAGACCGACGUGAGUUCCGCUGCUGUGGUGUCUCCAACUACACUGACUGGUUCGAGGUGUACAAUGCCACACGGGUGCCUGACUCCUGCUGCCUGGAGUUCAGUGAGAGCUGUGGGCUGCACGCCCCCGGCACCUGGUGGAAGGCGCCAUGCUACGAGACGGUGAAGGUGUGGCUUCAGGAGAACCUGCUGGCUGUGGGCAUCUUUGGGCUGUGCACGGCGCUGGUGCAGAUCCUGGGCCUGACCUUCGCCAUGACCAUGUACUGCCAGGUGGUCAAGGCAGACACGUACUGCGCGUAGGCCGCCCGCCGCCCGCUUCUCUGCCAAAAGGACGCCCACGGGGAGACGGCCGCGCCCACAGCUGCCUUUCCCACCACCAGCCUCGGUGCUCUGCCCCAUGCUGGGAGGAGGGAGGGAGGGACAGGUGCCCGGAGCCCCGUUUCUGGAAGGCCCUGGCUAAGGUGGCUUCAGGGCCCCCGGACCCCCCCUGGGAGGGGUGGCUAUGAGCUGGCUGCAGAACCCGGGGCAGGGGUGGGAGGGGCCCCCAGCACUUUUUAUGUUUACGUAUUCUCCGGAGCAGUGUUCACACGGGAGCCAGCCUGUGGCCCCCAGCCUCCUGGGAAACGGGUUGGGGCUGGAGGAGCCGGGUCUCCGCAUCUUGGAGGUGGCCCCGCUGGUCCUGGUGCUCCAGGCGGGGCCAUGGACCCCUCACCUACAUUCCAUAGUGGGCCUAUGGGGCUCCUGGUGCAUCUUAAUAAAGUGUGAGCAGCA